GAUGAAGAACGUAGUGAAACGCGAUACGUAAUGUGAAUUGCAGAAUUCAGUGAAUCAUCGAGUCUUUGAACGCACAUUGCGCCCCCUGGUAUUCCGGGGGGCAUGCCUGUCCGAGCGUCAUUGCUGCCCUCAAGCACGGCUUGUGUGUUGGGCCUCCGUCCUCCUCCCGGGGGACGGGCCCGAAAGGCAGCGGCGGCACCGCGUCCGGUCCUCGAGCGUAUGGGGCUUCGUCACCCGCUCUUGUAGGCCCGGCCGGCGCUUGCCGACACAUCAAUCUUUUUUCCAGGUUGACCUCGGAUCAGGUAGGGAUACCCGCUGAACUUAAGCAUAUCAAUAAGCGGAGGA
rnacentral:misc_RNA from 1 species